rnacentral:tmRNA from 1 species
GGGGGCGUAAAGGUUUCGACGGGGACAAAGAAGCUGCGUAAGCGUGCAGAGCCGGGACGACUCUGAAAAACGUUCCAACUAAAUAUAAACGCUAACAACAGCGCAAUCGCUGCCUGAUGGCAGGCUGCGGCUCUGAGAGCCGCCCGUCCUCACCGUGAACACCGUCUGACGGAUGAGGGCGUCAUGAGACGGUGAACGCGAGUCAUGACUUCUCCCUUGCAUUGACCGCGCAUUAAAGGGAUACCGGAAGCGGAGCUUGCCCGCUCACAUGCUGACGGGAAAUAUCAGAACGGGCUACGCACGUAGAAAGCGCUGUGGAGAUGUCUUCGGACACGGGUUCGACUCCCGUCGCCUCCACCA